UGAGAAUCACAGCUUAGAACUGAUAAAAUUCAGAAUUUGUUGGCCUGAUUUUUUUCAGAUAUUUGUAGCACAUGUGGCCCCUGUGUGACUGCACUUGUAGCAUGGGCAUUUGCCACUUAAGAUCAGGGUGUGGAUGUGUUGGGCUAGGAGCCUGGGCACACAGGAACCCAGCCUGAAAACAUUCCCAUGCUAGCUCAAAGCAUAAAACUAGAGAAGCGAGGAAACACAACUAUUUCCAAUCCUGUUCUCCAUUUUGUUUUUUUGGCCUUUGAAGGAGUCUGUGAAACUGUGAGAACAAGGGAGUCAGGACCUUUGGGUGACCAAAAAUUCUCCAUGCUGCCAUAAGCCCUUUGAGAGUCUUUGGGUAACUGGAUCAAGGAAACACAGAGUUCUUGCACGGCAAGAAAGGAUGACGAGAAGGAUAUGAAAAUCUAGAAGAGGAGUGUGUGGUGGAAAAGAGAUGUUGGAGAGAUCACCGGCUCUGAUGGUUCAGCCUUCACAAGCCAAGGUGGGAGGACCAGAGGAGCAGUCCAGCAAUAACCUAAAGCAGAUGGUGUGGUGAGAAGUGUGGUGAGAGGAAUGAUGAGAAUGACAUGUCUGACUCUUGAUGUGCUACUGUGACCUGCUUUUUUUUUCCACAGCAUUUUUCUUUUUAGUAGGAGGCAUCAGUGAGGAUUCAUUUCACCUGGCUUUAACCAUGUCACCAGCCAGAGUGAUCUCAAGGAGAGCCAUUUCAGGUCCCCGUAUACUGGGUGGUUUGAGACAUCCAGUUGGGGAUGGAAUGGGUCACUUUUUGGAGCUGCCUAGAGGAAGGAAUCUUGAUGACUAAGUCUGACUGAAUGCCUGUUUCCUGGUUAGCACAAGUCAGCUGGAGUGAAUCACACAACAAAGAACCUCCUGACACAAGAGGCAAAGCACUCCAACACAGAGUUUCUUUUAUCUCUUCAGCUCAGGUAUUUUGAAGGAUUUGGGAUACUACUGAUACUUUUACAUAAGACUUGGUCCAUUCUGGGUUUGAGAUUGCACGAGGUCAUUGGGAAGCCCAUUCCAGUGCUUGAUCGCUCUAAUUUUGAAGAAUUCCUUCCUAUUAACUAAUUGGAAUUCCUCCUGUUGCAACGUGGGACUAAUGCCUGUCAUCUGCUUGCUGUACAUCUCGGAGAAGAGUCUGGCUCCACUUUCUCAGUUACCUUCCACCAAUUGUAGACAACAGCUGAGUCCCCUCUUAGCUCCUACUUCUCCAGGCUGAAUGAACAAAUAAGAGCCCACAAAAAGCGAUGACAGUGGAAUUGCCAACAUUUUUAUGACUUUUAGGAUGAAAUUCCCCAAAGGCUCAGUCCCUGUUGAUUUAUUAAUUUUUUAUUUCAACUAUAGACCAAAUUGAUGUCUGAUUCUCAAGUCCACAAAGGUACUCUCUAAGGCAAUAAGUUCUCACUGGAUCAUUGUUGGCGUUGUCAGAAGAGGCAACAUUUUGUUUCUUUUGUCCUCAAAACUAGUUGCAGUGGGAAAGAAGGAUUCCAGAGGGGGAGUGGCUAUGGGGGGAUAUAUCCCUAAGUGGGUCUGGGAUCAGGUUUUGCCCUUCAUUUGCUCUUUGCAGGAGUUUUGAGGAGGAACAUGCUCAUCUAUGCACAUGGAAUUAAUGUGGAAUCACAAAGAGAGCCCAGGUUGCUUUGGUCCUCAUCCAGCAGCUCUUGUCAGCCGGGCAUGGACUCGCUUUGGUUUCACACAAACGUAAAUCUUUAUUUAAAACCUCCUGGAGUUUCCCGUCUUGGACUGGGGGUUUCACCAGGUUUGUUUACCUUGUAAAAACAUACAUGUGGAAAGAGUAUAAAGAGGUUAACUCCAUCAACAGUGAGCGGAGAAAAAGCUGCAAUAAAAACUGAAAACACAGCCCGUUUCGGGGAAAG
ensembl:lncRNA